rnacentral:rRNA from 1 species
UAGGGAAUCUUCCGCAAUGGACGAAAGUCUGAUGGAGCAACGCCGCGUGAGUGAAGAAGGUUUUCGGAUCGUAAAGCUCUGUUGUUGGUGAAGAAGGAUAGAGGCAGUAACUGGUCUUUAUUUGACGGUAAUCAACCAGAAAGUCACGGCUAACUACGCGCCAG